CCCCUCUUAGCUCAGUUGGAAGAGCGUCAGACUGUAACGGGAUACCAGCUCAUCUGAAUGUCGCCUGUUCGAACCAGGCAGAGGGGA
rnacentral:tRNA from 1 species